AGGACGCCGCGAGCAUGACGGAGCACGCCGCGUGAGGGAGGAAUGUCUGUGGAUUGUAAACCUCUUUUCUCUGGGAAGAAGAUCUGACGGUACCAGAGGAAUCAGCAUCGGCUAACUCCGUGCCAGCAGCCGCGGUAAGACGGAGGAUGCAAGCGUUAUCCGGAAUUAUUGGGCGUAAAGCGUCCGUAGGCGGUUAAUUAAGUCAGUUGUUAAAGACUGCAGCUCAACUGUGGGAGAGCAACUGAAACUGAUUGACUAGAGUAUGGUAGGGGUAGAGGGAAUUCCUAGUGUAGCGGUGAAAUGCGUAGAUAUUAGGAAGAACACCAGUGGCGAAGGCGCUCUACUGGGCCAAGACUGACGCUGAUGGACGAAAGCUAGGGGAGCGAAAGGGAUUAGAUACCCCCUGUAGUCA
rnacentral:rRNA from 1 species